rnacentral:tRNA from 1 species
UGCGGGGUGGUGCAACUGGCAACACGUCAGGCUCUGGACCUGAAGUUCUAGGUUCGAUUCCUAGCCCCGCAG